GGCCGGUGCCGGAAUGGUCGGUGCGGUGGGUGGACCACCGACGACCGGCUGGAACGGGCCGUCCGACUGGGCCCGCCCA
rnacentral:ncRNA from 21 species